rnacentral:rRNA from 1 species
CCUACGGGCGGCAGCAGUGAGGAAUAUUGGGCAAUGGACGAGAGUCUGAACCAGCCAAGUAGCGUGAAGGAUGACUGCCCUAUGGGUUGUAAACUCCUUCUAUAAAGGAAUAAAACGAGGCACGUGUGCCUUUUGUCAUGUACUUUAUCAAUAACGAUCGCCUAACUCCGUGCCAUCCGCCGCGGUAAUACGGAGGAUCCGAGCGUUACGCGGAUUGAUUGGGUUUAAGGGGAGCGUAGAUGGGUCGGUAAGUCAGUCGUGAAAGUUUGCGGCUCAACCGGAAAAUUGCAAUUGAUACUGGCAGUCUUGAGUACAGUUGAGGUAGGCGGAAUUCGUGGUGUAGCGGUGAAAUGCUUAGAUAUCACGAAGAACCCCGAUUGCGAAGGCAGCUUACUAAACUGUGACUGACAUUGAUGCUCGAAAGUGUGGGUAUCAAACAGGAUUAGAUACCCUAGUAGUC